rnacentral:rRNA from 1 species
GCCAGACUCCUACGGGAGGCAGCAGUGGGGAAUAUUGCACAAUGGGCGAAAGCCUGAUGCAGCGACGCCGCGUGAGUGAAGAAGUAUUUCGGUAUGUAAAGCUCUAUCAGCAGGGAAGAAAAUGACGGUACCUGACUAAGAAGCCCCGGCUAACUACGUGCCAGCAGCCGCGGUAAUACGUAGGGGGCAAGCGUUAUCCGGAUUUACUGGGUGUAAAGGGAGCGUAGACGGCGAAGCAAGUCUGAAGUGAAAACCCAGGGCUCAACCCUGGGACUGCUUUGGAAACUGUUUUGCUAGAGUGUCGGAGAGGUAAGUGGAAUUCCUAGUGUAGCGGUGAAAUGCGUAGAUAUUAGGAGGAACACCAGUGGCGAAGGCGACUAUCUGGCUGUACAUUGACGCUGAGGCUCGAAAGCAUGGGGAUCAAACAGGAUUAGAUACCCGGGUA